UACGUAGGAUCCGAGCGUUGUCCGGAUUUACUGGGUGUAAAGGGUGCGCAGGCGGACUGGUAAGUCAGAGGUGAAAUCUCGUCGCUUAACGACGAAACUGCCUUUGAUACUAUCAGUCUUGAGUCCGGUAGAGAUCUGUGGAAUUCCGAGUGUAGCAGUGAAAUGUGUAGAUAUUCGGAAGAACACCAGUGGCGAAGGCAGCAGAUUGGGCCGGUACUGACGCUGAGGUGCGAAAGCGUGGGGAGCAAACAGG
rnacentral:rRNA from 1 species